rnacentral:rRNA from 1 species
GUGGGGAAUAUUGCACAAUGGGGGGAACCCUGAUGCAGCCAUGCCGCGUGAAUGAAGAAGGCCUUCGGGUUGUAAAGUUCUUUCGGUGAUGAGGAAGGGUGAUGUUUUAAUAGAGCAUUACAUUGACGUUAGUCACAGAAGAAGCACCGGCUAACUCCGUGCCAGCAGCCGCGGUAAUACGGAGGGUGCGAGCGUUAAUCGGAAUGACUGGGCGUAAAGGGCACGCAGGCGGUGACUUAAGUGAGAUGUGAAAGCCCCGAGCUUAACUUGGGAAUUGCAUUUCAUACUGGGUGGCUAGAGUAUUUUAGGGAGGGGUAGAAUUCCACGUGUAGCGGUGAAAUGCGUAGAGAUGUGGAGGAAUACCGAAGGCGAAGGCAGCCCCUUGGGAAAAUACUGACGCUCAUGUGCGAAAGCGUGGGGAGCAAACAGGAUUAGAAACCCCAGUAGUCC